rnacentral:rRNA from 1 species
AUAUUGGGCAAUGGACGCAAGUCUGACCCAGCCAUGCCGCGUGAAGGAUGAAGGCGUUCUGCGUUGUAAACUUCUUUUAUUAGGGAAGAAACCUCCGUUUUCUAAUGGAGCCGACGGUACCUAACGAAUAAGCACCGGCUAACUCCGUGCCAGCAGCCGCGGUAAUACGGAGGGUGCAAGCGUUAUCCGGAUUCACUGGGUUUAAAGGGUGUGUAGGCGGAUAUUUAAGUCAGUGGUGAAAUCUCCAGGCUCAACCUGGAAACUGCCAUUGAUACUAUUUAUCUUGAAUUCUGUUGAGGUGGGCGGAAUACAUCAUGUAGCGGUGAAAUGCUUAGAUAUGAUGUAGAACACCGAUUGCGAAGGCAGCUCACUAAGCAGACAUUGACGCUGAGGCACGAAAGCGUGGGGAUCAAAC